rnacentral:lncRNA from 1 species
CAAAAACAGCUCCAAGUAGGAAGAGAAUGACCCAUGUGCUUUUCCAUAGCUUUUUAGUUAUUCUGUACAAAUAUCCAGGACGUCAUUUGAUUUUCACUUUUAGUCAUGAGUGCAGCUGUUCCAAAGCUUAUUGAAAUAUGUACUGACCUUCCUUCCAAAUGUAUUUCACUAUCUGUUAAAAAUAUCCAGAUACAGAUCUAUAUGAUAUUGUUCACUUUUGCAUUAUUCUUUCAAGUAUAUUCUCAUUGUUCCUGGUCUGUUAUGUGAAAUGUGUAAGUAGUAUUAAUAAACAUGCUUGAGAGGUCAUGUUACAUAUAUAUAUAU